rnacentral:lncRNA from 1 species
UAUUAAGACCUCCCUGUUCUUUGUUGUUCCAAAUCUCUGACGAUCUAGGAUGAAGGUGAGAGGGUUAAUCUGCCUGAGAGGGAUGAAGCCCAAAUAGGAAGUCAGCGUCACAGCCGAAACCAGAGCCCAGGAGACAGUGUUAAGAUGAUCCACGUGGUGUCUCUUGAUUCCUCUCUCUCCCCAAGGCAAGGAAUGACACAUCUCUGUAUCCAUGACAUCGGGAGACUACAGAGCAAGCCUGAAUUUGAGCAGCUUGUGACUCCAGACGGUCUUCUGAGAACCAACUGGAUGAGGAGGUGCCUUCUGAUGGGCGCGAGGGGCUUCUUCUGUACAGCAACCAGUAACGAGGUCUUCUUUUUCAAAUUCAAAUAUAAUUAUAUUAUUUCUCUUUUUACUCUUCUUCCUUCAA